rnacentral:rRNA from 1 species
UACGUAGGGGGCAAGCGUUGCCCGGAAUCAUUGGGCGUAAAGAGCGUGUAGGCGGCCAGAUAAGUCCGCUGUGAAAUCUCGAGGCUCAACUUCGAGCUGUCGGUGGAAACUGUCUGGCUAGAGUCCGGAAGAGGAGAGUGGAAUUCCUGGUGUAGCGGUGAAAUGCGCAGAUAUCAGGAAGAACACCCGUGGCGAAGGCGGCGCUCUGGGACGGUACUGACGCUGAGACGCGAAAGCGUGGGGAGCGAACAGG